UACAGAGGGGGCCAGCGUUAUUCGGAAUUAUUGGGCGUAAAGAGCUCGUAGGCGGUUUGUCGCGUCUGCCGUGAAAGUCCGGGGCUCAACUCCGGAUCUGCGGUGGGUACGGGCAGACUAGAGGUAGGCAGGGGAGAGCGGAACUCCUGGUGUAGCGGUGGAAUGCGCAGAUAUCAGGAGGAACACCGGUGGCGAAGGCGGUUCUCUGGGCAUUACCUGACGCUGAGGAGCGAAAGUGUGGGGAGCGAACAGG
rnacentral:rRNA from 1 species